CCUACGGGAGGCUGCAGUGAGGAAUAUUGGUCACUGGCCGAGAGUCUGCACCAGCCACGUAGCGUGAAGGAUGACUGCCCUGUGGGUUGUCAACUUCUUUUAUACAGGAAUAAAACGAGGCACGUGUGCCUUUUUGCAUGUACUUUAUGAAUAAGGAUCGGCUAACUCCGUGCCAGCAGCCGCGGUAAUACGGAGGAUCCGAGCGUUAUCCGGAUUUAUUGGGUUUAAAGGGAGCGUAGAUGGAUUGUUAAGUCAGUUGUGAAAGUUUGCGGCUCAACCGUAAAAUUGCAGUUGAAACUGGCAGUCGUGAGUACAGUAGAGGUGGGCGGAAUUCGUGGUGUAGCGGUGAAAUGCUUAGAUAUCACGAAGAACUCCGAUUGCGAAGGCAGCUCACUGGACUGCAACUGACACUGAUGCUCGAAAGUGUGGGUAUCAAACAGGAUUAGAUACCCCUGUAGUC
rnacentral:rRNA from 1 species